rnacentral:piRNA from 1 species
GCAUGUCUCUGUGGCGCAAUCGGUUAGCG